UACGUAGGGUGCGAGCGUUAAUCGGAAUUACUGGGCGUAAAGCGUGCGUAGGCGGUUCUCCAAGUCCGUUGUGAAAUCCCCGGGCUUAACCUGGGAAUGGCAGUGGAAACUGGCGAGCUUGAGUGUGGCAGAGGGGGGUGGAAUUCCGCGUGUAGCAGUGAAAUGCGUAGAGAUGCGGAGGAACACCGAUGGCGAAGGCAACCCCCUGGGCUGACACUGACGCUCAGGCACGAAAGCGUGGGGAGCAAACAGG
rnacentral:rRNA from 1 species